rnacentral:rRNA from 1 species
AGGAUCAUUAUUGAAAUAAACCUGAUGGGUUGUUGCUGGUUCUCUAGGGAGCAUGUGCACGCUUAUCAUCUUUAUAUCUCCACCUGUGCACUUUUUGUAGACCUGGAUAAUCUUUCUGAAUGCACUUGCAUUUCAGGUUUGAGGAAUUGACUUCAUGUCUCUCCUUACAUUUCCACGCCUAUGUUUCUUCAUAUACCCCUAUGUAUGUUUCAGAAUGUAACAGGAUGGGCCUUUUGUGCCUAUAAAUUUAUACAACUUUCAGCAACGGAUCUCUUGGCUCUCGCAUCGAUGAAGAACGCAGCGAAAUGCGAUAAGUAAUGUGAAUUGCAGAAUUCAGUGAAUCAUCGAAUCUUUGAACGCACCUUGCGCUCCUUGGUAUUCCGAGGAGCAUGCCUGUUUGAGUGUCAUUAAUAUAUCAACCUCUUCAGCUUAUGCUUGUUGAGUGUUGGAUGUGGGGUUUGCUGGUGUCUUAUGAAGUCAGCUCCCCUGAAAUGCAUUAGCGGAACAAUCUGUUGACCGUKCAUUGGUGUGAUAAAAUAUCUACGCUAUUGACGUCAGUCAGUUCAGCUUCUAACAGUCCAUUGACUU